rnacentral:rRNA from 1 species
AGACAUGCAAGUCGAACGGUAAGGCCGUUUCUGAUCCUUCGGGUGAAGAAAAGGUACACGAGUGGCGAAGGGCGAGGAAUACUUGGGUACGUCCCGGGGCGACGGGAUAGCUGUGGGAAACCGCAGGUUAUACCUGAUAAGACCACAGUUCCUACGGGAACAGCGGUCAAACGGUGGGGACCUUCGGGCCUACCGGCCUGUGAGCGGCCCAAGUCCUAUCAGCUUGUUGGUGAGGUAACGGCUCACCAACGCAACGACGGGUACCGGGACUGAGAGGUUGGUCCGGCGCAUUGGGACUGAGACACUGCCCAGACUCCUGCGGGAAGCUGCAGUAACGAAUAUUGGACAAUGGGCGCAAGCCUGAUCCAGCGACGCCGCGUGCAGGAUGAAGUCCUUCGGGAUGUAAACUGCUGUCAGGGAUCAGCAAGCAAUACCGGCUAAUAUCCGGUUGCGUUGAGGACUCCCAGAGGAAGCCACGGCUAACUUCGUGCCAGCAGCCGCGGUAAGACGAAGGUGGCGAGCGUUGUUCGGAAUCACUGGGCUUAAA